GGAUUACCAGAACACUUACUAUCCUACUGUUCUUCCUCUAAGGAGGCCUUAUUCUGGAGACCCAGAAAUCCGGGAUGCAGCUGAAUUUGGAGAGUCUGCUACAAACGAAGAGUACAAUGAAAAUGCUAUUAAUCCUGCUCAAGAACUUGGGCUGACGGAGGAAAAUGAAAAAGAAAACAUGAUUCUGUUCCAGCUUCCUCCUAUGCCAUUGGUCAAACGAUCAGCUAGUGC